CACAGGUUUGGUCCUGGCCUUUCUAUUAAUUCUUAAUAAAAUUACACAUGCAAGUAUCCGCGCCCCGGUGAGAAUGCCCUCCAGAUCCUAAAGAUCAAAAGGAGCAGGUAUCAAGCACACCUAUAACGGUAGCUCAUAACGCCUUGCUCAACCACACCCCCACGGGAAACAGCAGUGAUAAAAAUUAAGCCAUGAACGAAAGUUUGACUAAGUUAUAUUAAUUAGAGUUGGUAAAUCUCGUGCCAGCCACCGCGGUCAUACGAUUAACCCAAAUUAAUAGAUCCACGGCGUAAAGAGUGUUUAAGAAAAAAAAACCACAAUAGAGUUAAAUUAUAACUAAGCUGUAAAAAGCCCUAGUUAAAAUAAAAUAACCCACGAAAGUGACUCUAAUAAUCCUGACACACGAUAGCUAGGACCCAAACUGGGAUUAGAUACCCCACUAUGCCUAGCCCUAAACCCAAAUAGUUACAUAACAAAACUAUUCGCCAGAGUACUACUCGCAACUGCCUAAAACUCAAAGGACUUGGCGGUGCUUCACAUCCACCUAGAGGAGCCUGUUCUAUAAUCGAUAAACCCCGAUAGACCUUACCAACCCUUGCCAAUUCAGCCUAUAUACCGCCAUCUUCAGCAAACCCUAAAAAGGAACAAUAGUAAGCACAAUCAUAACACAUAAAAACGUUAGGUCAAGGUGUAGCUUAUGGGUUGGAAAGAAAUGGGCUACAUUUUCUACAUAAGAAUACCCGCCAUACGAAAGUUUUUAUGAAACUAAAAACCAAAGGAGGAUUUAGCAGUAAAUCAAGAAUAGAGUGCUUGAUUGAAUAAGGCCAUGAAGCACGCACACACCGCCCGUCACCCUCCUCAAGCAUGUAGUAAUAAAAAUAACCUAUAUUCAAUUACACAACCAUGCAAGAAGAGACAAGUCGUAACAAGGUAAGCAUACUGGAAAGUGUGCUUGGAUUAC
rnacentral:ncRNA from 1 species